rnacentral:rRNA from 1 species
UCCCAAACCCAAUGUGAACGUUACCAAACUGUUGCCUCGGCGGGAUCUCUGCCCCGGGUGCGUCGCAGCCCCGGACCAAGGCGCCCGCCGGAGGACCAACCAAAACUCUUAUUGUAUACCCCCUCGCGGGUUUUUUAUAAUCUGAGCCUUCUCGGCGCCCCUCGUGGGCGUUUCGAAAAUGAAUCAAAACUUUCAACAACGGAUCUCUUGGUUCUGGCAUCGAUGAAGAACGCAGCGAAAUGCGAUAAGUAAUGUGAAUUGCAGAAUUCAGUGAAUCAUCGAAUCUUUGAACGCACAUUGCGCCCGCCAGUAUUCUGGCGGGCAUGCCUGUCCGAGCGUCAUUUCAACCCUCGAACCCCUCCGGGGGGUCGGCGUUGGGGAUCGGCCCUCCCUCUGCGGGGGCCGUCUCCGAAAUCCAGUGGCGGUCUCGCCGCAGCCUCUCCUGCGCAGUAGUUUGCACACUCGCACCGGGAGCGCGGCGCGUCCACAGCCGUUAAACACCCAACUUUCUGAAAUGUUGACCUCGGAUCAGGUAGGAAUACCCGCUGAACUUAAGCAUAUCAAU